UUAAGCUAAUCUCUUAAAACCAUUCUCAGUUCGGACUGUAGGCUGCAACUCGCCUACACGAAGUCGGAAUCGCUAGUAAUCGCGGAUCAGCAUGCCGCGGUGAAUACGUUCCCGGGCCUUGUACACACCGCCCGUCACACCAUGAGAGUUUGUAACACCCAAAGCCGGUGGGGUAACCUUUUAGGAGCUAGCCGUCUAAGGUGGGACAGAUGAUUAGGGUGAAGUCGUAACA
rnacentral:rRNA from 1 species